AGCUGCACAUAUAAAUGUUCUUUGAAAAGUCUGCUUCAAGAUGUUAAUGGAAGUAUUGAUUUCCCCCUUUUUUUUCUUUUGGAUGAUGUCUGUUUACUGGGCUACCUCCUCAUCUCUCUGCUCCCUUCAGCGUCGUGUCAGGGGCAAGUGCCCAAACCAAGGCGGCUAAGCGGGUGUCAAGCCACUUGCAGAAACAGAGAGAAGACUUAACUAAUGGCAUAGGUCUCCUAAGUCAAUGGACCCUGUCUCUUCUAAUUUCAUUAUCAAUUCACCACGGGCACCUGACAGACUCAGGAUGUUAAGUCAAAUUCAAAAGCUCAAAAAUGAAAAGGGGAAAAAAAAUCCAAUUUCAGAGUCAGGUGAAAACAUCAUAAUUCAGAGAAAAUCUUUAUUAUUGAUUUAUAGCUACAGACUCUUGUCCAAAGGUUUCCUCUUUAAAUUAAGAAUACUAAUGAUUUUCCACCCUGAAAUUAAGAAUCCGAAAGCUGCACAAAUUCAAAACAGACACUAAUUGUUGUACUUCAUCCAGGAAGGGCCCAGUGCACGGAUGCCUAAGCUUGUUUCCGUCAUCGUGUGGUUGGUGACAAGCCACGGUGUUCGGGAGAAUCGCAUGCGUCCCUGGGAGUCAUUCCUUUGUGUGCCAAGAGGCCAUGGAAUUUGAAAUGGAACAUCCUGUUUGGGGAGGCAUCUAUACACGCAGCCCAAUUGCUCUCUGAUAAACACAUUUGUUUGGGACAAAAGUUCCUGCGUAAGUAGUUUUGGAGACUUAAUUGUGCUAUGGAAGAGGUGACACAGGCCCCGCGUGGAGAACGCCAGGCAGCCUGGGGCCUGCGCAAGGCUCUGAAUCAGUUCCAGAGGAAGCACAGGCUUGCCAGGACAGCCACAGGGACUUCAAACAGAAUUGAAACCAGGAAAAAGGAAACAGUUAUUUGUGGGGAACAGGAAAUAGGAUUUAGAAGACACUGACAUAGAUACAGUCAUUUUACUACUGAGUAUUUUAUUUACCCUGUGCUAUUGUAUGUAUUUUGGUAAGCCAUGUUAAAAUAUGGUGGCAUGAAUGAAUAAAUGAAGUCUCU